UACGAAGGGGGCUAGCGUUGCUCGGAAUCACUGGGCGUAAAGCGCACGUAGGCGGCUUUUUAAGUCAGGGGUGAAAUCCUGGAGCUCAACUCCAGAACUGCCUUUGAUACUGAGAGCCUUGAGUUCGGGAGAGGUGAGUGGAACUGCGAGUGUAGAGGUGAAAUUCGUAGAUAUUCGCAAGAACACCAGUGGCGAAGGCGGCUCACUGGCCCGAUACUGACGCUGAGGUGCGAAAGCGUGGGGAGCAAACAGG
rnacentral:rRNA from 1 species